AGAGUUUGAUCCUGGCUCAGGACGAACGCUGGCGGCGUGCCUAACACAUGCAAGUCGAGCGGAGACAGUGAGUAGCUUGCUAUGAGCUGUUUUAGCGGCGGACGGGUGAGUAACGCGUGAGCAACCUUUCCCAGACAGGGGAAUAACACACCGAAAGGUGUACUAAUACCGCAUAAGACCACGGGAUCACAUGGUUCUGGGGUAAAAGAAUUAUCGGUUUGGGGUGGGCUCGCGUCCGAUUAGGUAGUUGGUGAGGUAACGGCCCACCAAGCCGACGAUCGGUAGCCGACCUGAGAGGGUGAUCGGCCACAUUGGGACUGAGACACGGCCCAAACUCCUACGGGAGGCAGCAGUGGGGAAUAUUGGGCAAUGGAGGAAACUCUGACCCAGCAACGCCGCGUGGAGGAAGAAGGUUUUCGGAUCGUAAACUCCUGUCCUUGGAGACGAGUAGAAGACGGUAUCCAAGGAGGAAGCCCCGGCUAACUACGUGCCAGCAGCCGCGGUAAUACGUAGGGGGCAAGCGUUGUCCGGAAUAAUUGGGCGUAAAGGGCGCGUAGGCGGCUCGGUAAGUCUGGAGUGAAAGUCCUGCUUUUAAGGUGGGAAUUGCUUUGGAUACUGUCGGGCUUGAGUGCAGGAGAGGUUAGUGGAAUUCCCAGUGUAGCGGUGAAAUGCGUAGAGAUUGGGAGGAACACCAGUGGCGAAGGCGACUAACUGGACUGUAACUGACGCUGAGGCGCGAAAGUGUGGGGAGCAAACAGGAUUAGAUACCCUGGUAGUCCACACUGUAAACGAUGAAUGCUAGGUGUAGGGGGUAUCGACCCCUUCUGUGCCGCAGUUAACACAAUAAGUAUCCCACCUGGGGAGUACGAUCGCAAGGUUGAAACUCAAAGGAAUUGACGGGGGCCCGCACAAGCGGUGGAUUAUGUGGUUUAAUUCGAAGCAACGCGAAGAACCUUACCAAGUCUUGACAUCGAUCUGACAGGGCCGUAAUGGGCCCGUUCCUUCGGGACAGAGAAGACAGGUGGUGCAUGGUUGUCGUCAGCUCGUGUCGUGAGAUGUUGGGUUAAGUCCCGCAACGAGCGCAACCCUUAUCUUCAGUAGCCAGCGGUCCGGCCGGGCACUCUGGAGAGACUGCCAGGGACAACCUGGAGGAAGGUGGGGAUGACGUCAAAUCAUCAUGCCCCUUAUGACUUGGGCUACACACGUGCUACAAUGGCGUAAACAAAGGGAAGCAGCCCUGUGAAGGUGAGCAAAUCCCAAAAAUAACGUCUCAGUUCGGAUUGUAGUCUGCAACUCGACUACAUGAAGCUGGAAUCGCUAGUAAUCGCGAAUCAGCAUGUCGCGGUGAAUACGUUCCCGGGUCUUGUACACACCGCCCGUCA
rnacentral:rRNA from 1 species